GAUGAACGCUGGCGGCGUGCCUAAUACAUGCAAGUCGAGCGAACAGACGAGGAGCUUGCUCCUCUGACGUUAGCGGCGGACGGGUGAGUAACACGUGGAUAACCUACCUAUAAGACUGGGAUAACUUCGGGAAACCGGAGCUAAUACCGGAUAACACGUUGAACCGCAUGGUUCAACAGUGAAAGACGGUCUUGCUGUCACUUAUAGAUGGAUCCGCGCCGCAUUAGCUAGUUGGUAAGGUAACGGCUUACCAAGGCAACGAUGCGUAGCCGACCUGAGAGGGUGAUCGGCCCCACUGGAACUGAGACACGGUCCAGACUCCUAAGGGAGGCAGCAGUAGGGAAUCUUCCGCAAUGGGCGAAAGCCUGACGGAGCAACGCCGCGUGAGUGAAGAAGGUCUUCGGAUCGUAAAACUCUGUUAUUAGGGAAGAACAAAUGUGUAAGUAACUAUGCACGUCUUGACGGUACCUAAUCAGAAAGCCACGGCUAACUACGUG
rnacentral:rRNA from 1 species